rnacentral:miRNA from 1 species
AAUCACAGGAGUAUACUGUGAG